rnacentral:rRNA from 1 species
AGACUCAGUGAAAUUGAACUCGCUGUGAAGAUGCAGUGUACCCGCGGCAAGACGGAAAGACCCCGUGAACCUUUACUAUAGCUUGACACUGAACAUUGAGCCUUGAUGUGUAGGAUAGGUGGGAGGCUUUGAAGCGUGGACGCCAGUCUGCGUGGAGCCGACCUUGAAAUACCACCCUUUAAUGUUUGAUGUUCUAACGUGGACCCGUUACCCGGGUUGCGGACAGUGUCUGGUGGGUAGUUUGACUGGGGCGGUCUCCUCCUAAAGAGUAACGGAGGAGCACGAAGGUUGGCUAAUCCUGGUCGGACAUCAGGAGGUUAGUGCAAUGGCAUAAGCCAGCUUGACUGCGAGCGUGACGGCGCGAGCAGGUGCGAAAGCAGGUCAUAGUGAUCCGGUGGUUCUGAAUGGAAGGGCCAUCGCUCAACGGAUAAAAGGUACUCCGGGGAUAACAGGCUGAUACCGCCCAAGAGUUCAUAUCGACGGCGGUGUUUGGCACCUCGAUGUCGGCUCAUCACAUCCUGGGGCUGAAGUAGGUCCCAAGGGUAUGGCUGUUCGCCAUUUAAAGUGGUACGCGAGCUGGGUUUAGAACGUCGUGAGACAGUUCGGUCCCUAUCUGCCGUGGGCGCUGGAGAACUGAGGGGGGCUGCUCCUAGUACGAGAGGACCGGAGUGGACGCAUCACUGGUGUUCGGGUUGUCAUGCCAAUGGCACUGCCCGGUAGCUAAAUGCGGAAGAGAUAAGUGCUGAAAGCAUCUAAGCACGAAACUUGCCCCGA